rnacentral:rRNA from 1 species
AUGAAGAUUAUAGUGUGGAACUGCCGGGGACUUGGCAACCCCCCGACAGUUAGGGGUCUUCUAAACCUUCAAAAGUCAGAGGAUCCUGAUAUUCUGUUUUUGGCGGAGACGAAAAUGUGCAAAGAAAAGUUGCAGAAGUUUAGGUGGAAGCUAGAUUUGACCAAUCUAUGGGCACACAGCUGUGAAGGCAAAGGCAGGGGAGGAAUAGCAGCGUUCUGGAGAACCGGGGUAGAUGCAAGCUUGAUAAAUUAUUCGAGGUACAAUAUCAGUUUGGAA